GAGAGACAGCAUGGUGCCCAUAGGCUGAGGUGGGCUUGUCUGGCCACCCCACAAAAAUGGGCAUAGGAAGCUGCCAGAUGAAGCAUCACAGGUCAAGAUUUUGCACCCCUCCAGAUGCUGCCUUCAGCGUGGUGAGCUGGGCUAUAAACCAAGCUGCCGCCUGAGGCACUUGUGGAGGACCAAUAGCCAGCAGGACCCACCGUGUUGUUGUCCUCCCUUACUAACAGUUUUCCAUUAUCUUAUUUCAUUUUAUUUAUUUUUUUCCUACCACGGACAUGGAAAAAACUGAUGCCACUGCAGGGAAGGGAAAAAAAGCAGCUGAGCAAAUCUGGAAACAGACAUUUGUGCUCCAGGCCCAGGAAAGCCCACCACCGUUCCCAUUGGGAUGGCCCAUCUGGAGCUCCCAUCUCCAGCCCAGCUUUCCUCCAGCCUUGGUCCCUGCAGCACUCCAGGCUUCCAGAGUCCAGGCAAGCCCCAGAAAAUCUCAGGAACAGCAUGAGGAGCCUCUCGUGCCGCUGAUGGAGGAACAACGUUGUCAGCUGCAAGGAAGAAGAAUUUGAGGUUGGCUGUCGGAGCGCUCUGAGCUCAGGAGGGGUUUGGAGGAAUGCAAGCUGGGGUUACAUAAAACACUGACUCAUGCUGAGACAUCACGAGUUUUGAAACCUUCAUCUGAGGAACGAGCAAAACCUCAAGCUGCACAUCUCUUACAAGUCAACAGGAACCAGGGAUGCUCGGGACGUCUGAAAAUCAGGCCUCGUCGCAGGCUUGUUUUGAAGUCCUGCCACCGCUCCCAGGAGGAAAUGAGAGCCAUACACAUCUAUCAGGGGGUGAAACCAUCCCCUUUGUUACUUCAGGGAAGAUUGGUACAGGCAUUUUGGCUUUACUCAUUGGAGAGAACUCGCCUAAGUUGCAGUAAUUUGUGUGCAGCGACGGUGUGCAUGUGAGGGGUGGGAAGGCAACAGGAACGCAAUGCCGAGGACUUCCUGUCAUGCAUUAGAAACACGGACCAAAACCAUUCACACUUUGAUAUUUAAAUAAGACUUCCAAGCUCCAUGCUCGGAGACAUAUGCAAGUAGUUGAUUUUUGGAUCCCUUACAAUUUUUUCUCUCUCCUCUUAUUUACAGUAGGUACUCAGCAUCUCACCAAAAAAAGAAAAAUAA